rnacentral:snoRNA from 1 species
UCCAGCAGUAAUAAGCAGUCCAGAGCUAUACAAUGUGACGGUGUUACACGGCUGAGAGAAAAAUACUAGUCUUUUCAUCUGGUUGUUGCUUCCAUUCUGGAGGCAACUGAUGCCAACAUGGAAUGGUAAUGUGCUUCCCUGACAGUGUGUUAAGCAUGUCUUAAUUGCUUAAUGCUAGUCUAGAAGCAUACAAA